rnacentral:rRNA from 1 species
UACGAGGGAUCCUAGCGUUGUUCGGAAUCAUUGGGCGUAAAGGGUGCGUAGGCGGUUCGACAAGUCGGCCGUGAAAUCUCCAGGCUCAACUUGGAGGGGUCGGGCGAGACUGCGGAGCUCGAGGUGGGCAGAGGGCAGUGGAAUUCCGGGUGUAGUGGUGGAAUGCGUAGAGAUCCGGAGGAACACCAGUGGCGAAGGCGGCUGCCUGGGCCUGGCCUGACGCUGAGGCGCGAAAGCGUGGGGAGCGAACCGG